rnacentral:rRNA from 1 species
GCGCGACCGUGUCUGGUGCCGCAGGGAAGCCGUGAAGCGAGCCACCUGGGAAGUACGGCCGCAAGGCUGAAACUUAAAGGAAUUGGCGGGGGAGCACAACAACGGGUGGAGCCUGCGGUUUAAUUGGACUCAACGCCGGACAACUCACCGGGGGCGACAGCAAUAUGUAAGCCAAGCUGAAGACUUUGCCUGAAUCGCUGAAAGGAGNUGCAUG